CCGUGUCAUUGCAAAUGGCCAGAUUUCGUUCUGAAUAAUAUUCCGUUAUGUAUAUACACACCACUUCUACUUGUUCCAUUCUGUUGAUGGGCGCUUGGACUGUUUCCAUAACUCAGCUAUCAUCACAAGUUUUCUGAAAGGGGGAAAAUGUACUUGAGAAACCCCCUGAAGGAGAUUCAUCUGCACCUGGCCCUGAUUUAGAAGAUGAGACCUUGAGAUUUCUAUCAACCCCCCAGUGAGAUGCAUCUUUGGGAAUCUUUGGAGAGGGAAAUGAGAAAGACAGUUCACAUGUGAGGCUCUGCUAAGCUGAAGACUGGUGAGAGUGUGUUGCUCUCUGCCUUCGAGAUUGCCCAGCCAGUCUCAGCAGCAACCCAACCGCACAAGGGACCUUGCGUCGCCAACUGCCACCACCGCCUCCUUCUAGGUUUUAAACUGGGAUAAAGAUCACUGCGGAGAUAUGGCGGGAAGGAGAGAGCGAUUUGUGGGAGGAUCUACACAGAAAGGAAGGGCAUGAGAAACUGAGUGAGUCCACCGUCUCUCAUGGUUCAUCACCCCCUUCGAUUUCUCCCCCUCCGACUUCUCCCCCUUCAUUUUCCCCCUGGUGAUGGGUGUUAAGGAGGCAUCUACUGCAUGGAGCACGUAAACAGUGAAUCCUGGAGGGCUACAUCAAAAACUAAUAACAUACUGUAUGGUGACUAACGCAACAUAAUUUAAUGAACAAGAAAUAUA